CUUGGCCCCCGGCAACAACCUGACGACCAGCAGUACCCACGAGGUGGCCGGAGAAGAGUUCCGGGAGCUUUUGCUCAGUGCUUGUCAGCGUUGUGCAAAUGUGUUUGUGGUGGACUUUGUUCCACGUCUGACCGUUGCACCAGAACUGCAGGAGCACAUGAGCCGGGAGUUUCAUUCUGUGGCGCAGAAAAUGGGUAUCGCAUACUACUCCACGUUUGAACAUUUCCCGUUCAGUCAGCUGGAUCUGUGGGUCAGAGAUAGUGUUCACUUGAGCGACGACGAUGGCAUGGAGAUUCUUUCCAAGGUGCUGUGGGACGCUGCCUACAAGCAACUGGAGGUGCCAGCACCAAAGGCGAAG